rnacentral:rRNA from 1 species
CCUACGGGAGGCAGCAGUGAGGAAUAUUGGUCAAUGGGCGUAAGCCUGAACCAGCCAAGUCGCGUGAGGGAUGAAGGUUCUAUGGAUCGUAAACCUCUUUUAUAAGGGAAUAAAGUGCGGGACGUGUCCCGUUUUGUAUGUACCUUAUGAAUAAGGAUCGGCUAACUCCGUUCCAGCAGCCGCGGUAAUACGGAGGAUCCGAGCGUUAUCCGGAUUUAUUGGGUUUAAAGGGUGCGUAGGCGGCCUUUUAAGUCAGCGGUUAAAGUCUGUGGCUCAACCAUACAAUUGCCGUUGAAACUGGAAGGCUUGAGUAUGUUUGAGGCAGGCGGAAUGCGUGGGGUAGCGGGGAAAUGCUUAGAUAUCACGCAGAACCCCGAUUGCGAAGGCAGCCUGCCAAGCCAUGACUGACGCUGAUGCACGAAAGCGUGGGGAUCAAACAGGAUUAGAUACCCGUGUAGUC